AUAUUGGAGCAUUCCUAAUUGAUCGAGACCCAACUUACUUUGGUCCAAUUUUAAAUUACUUACGACAUGGCAAAUUAGUUAUAAAUAAAGAUUUAGCAGAAGAAGGUGUCUUGGAAGAAGCGGAAUUCUAUAACAUCACUCCAUUAAUAAAACUUGUUAAG
rnacentral:lncRNA from 1 species